rnacentral:snRNA from 1 species
AUACUAACUUGAGAUGGAGGAGACACUAUGAUUGCAAAGGUAAUUUUGUCAGGAUGAUGCCUGUCCAUUGCUUUGUGGGCAGGUUCAGGACCCCUGCAAUUUCUCCAAAUGUGGGAAAUGACGAUGUGGUCGGUGUUGACAGUGAAAACAGGAUUUUCUGUCUUACCC